CAGAGCUCGGUGUACGUGGUAAAACACACGUCAUUCAUUUGGAUUUUCCGUUUUUUGAAUGACCCGUCUAAUACAAGAACACAGCUGAUGGAGGGAAAACGUGAUUUCAGGAUUUCCUCAUAGUCACACCCACCACGUUCAUCGUAAAAUAAAAAUUACGACGUAGGAAAACAUCACUAAAAGUUGAAAUACUAUACCUCUAUGCUACUGCGGUUCGCUCUGUUUGGUUGUUCGUCAUCCGAAUCUGGAAAUGAAAAUAUUUGAAACAAAUCGGAAUACUGGAAAGAAGACUGUACAAGUGUACAUACCUUGCGGGGAAUCAAUUGGCGAAUAAAAGUCAUCGAGAUUAUGGCUGCGGACGGAAGGGGCCUGAUUUUGCAGCAAAGGUGCGCGUUCAUCAUCAGAUGAGAUAGCUAUUGUAGAGCAACAAGUUUGUAAAGCUUAAAAUGUCAAUUAGUAAACACUAUAAUAGUAUACCUCUGAAAAAAUCACGGGCAAGGGAUUCUUGGGGCAGGACUCGAAAAUCAAGAAACCAAGCUUCACCCCAUGACAAAACAAAAGAACUCAGAACAAGAAAAACAUCUAGCGUAUAGUUGGUGGCAUUAGCCCACUACGAAAAAAAAAAGGUGUAAAAUUAAAUGAUUGCACACACGCGACGAAAAA